rnacentral:misc_RNA from 1 species
ACCGAGGAAGCGGACUACCAGACCAAGCUGCGCGCGAUCCUGCGUUUCCUCGAAGACGGCGACAAGGUCAAGAUCGUCGUCCGCUUCCGUGGGCGCGAGCUGGCUCAUCAGGAACUCGGCAUGCAGAUGAUGGACCGCCUGCGUAACGAUCUGGGCGAUCUGGUCGUGGUCGAGCAACUCCCGAAAAUGGAAGGCCGCCAGUCGGUCAUGGUCAUCGCACCCAAGCGCAAGUAGCGAAUCGCGCAAGCUGCGGCGGCGCCGGCGUAUACCCUGCGCCGCCGUGCGACUUGAAACUUCCUGCGGGAACGGCAACAAUCGCGCCCC